GACGAACGCUGGCGGCGUGCUUAACACAUGCAAGUCGAACGGAAAGGCCCUGCUUUUGUGGGUUGCUCGAGUGGCGAACGGGUGAGUAACACGUGAGUAACCUGCCCUUGACUUUGGGAUAACUUCAGGAAACUGGGGCUAAUACCGGAUAGGAGCUCCUGCUGCAUGGUGGGGGUUGGAAAGUUUCGGCGGUUGGGGAUGGACUCGCGGCUUAUCAGCUUGUUGGUCGGGUAGUGGCUUACCAAGGCUUUGACGGGUAGCCCGCCUGAGAGGGUGACCGGCCUCCUUGGGACUGAGAUACGGCGCAGACGGCUACGUGAGGCAGCAGUGGGGAAUAUUGCACAGUGGGCGGAAGCCAGAUACAGCAACGUCGCGUGCGGAAUGACGGGUUUCGGGUGGUAAACCGCUUUCGCCUGUGACGAGGCGUGAGUGACGGUAAUGGGUAAGGAAGCACCGGCUAACUACGUG
rnacentral:rRNA from 1 species